UAAGGAAUAUUGGGCAAUGGGCGCAAGCCUGACCCAGCCAUGCCGCGUGCAGGAUGACGACCCUAUGGGUUGUAAACUGCUUUUAUAUAGGAAGAAAAUACUCUUGCGAGAGGAUCUGACGGUACUAUAUGAAUAAGGACCGGCUAACUCCGUGCCAGCAGCCGCGGUAAUACGGAGGGUUCAAGCGUUUUCCGGAUUUAUUGGGUUUAAAGGGUGCGUAGGUGGUUUAUUAAGUCAGUGGUGAAAUCCUGCAGCUCAACUGUAGAACUGCCAUUGAUACUGGUAAACUUGAGUUUGGUUUAGGUAAGCGGAAUUUAUGAUGUAGCGGUGAAAUGCAUAGAUAUCAUAAGGAACACCAAUAGCGAAGGCAGCUUACUGGACCAUAACUGACACUGAGGCACGAAAGCGUGGGUAGCGAACAGG
rnacentral:rRNA from 1 species